ensembl:miRNA mir-248 ncRNA
AUACACGUGCACGGAUAACGCUCA